UGGGGAAUUUUGGACAAUGGGCGAAAGCCUGAUCCAGCCAUCCCGCGUGAGUGAAGAAGGCCUUCGGGUUGUAAAGCUCUUUCAGCCGGAAAGAAAUCGUGCAACUUAAUACGUUGUAUGGAUGACGGUACCGGAAGAAGAAGCACCGGCUAACUACGUGCCAGCAGCCGCGGUAAUACGUAGGGUGCGAGCGUUAAUCGGAAUUACUGGGCGUAAAGCGUGCGCAGGCGGUUUUUAAGCCAGAUGUGAAAUCCCCGGGCUCAACCUGGGAACUGCAUUUGGAACUGGAAGACUAGAGUAUAGCAGAGGGAGGUAGAAUUCCACGUGUAGCAGUGAAAUGCGUAGAUAUGUGGAGGAAUACCGAUGGCGAAGGCAGCC
rnacentral:rRNA from 1 species